GUGGGGAAUCUUCCGCAAUGGACGAAAGUCUGACGGAGCAACGCCGCGUGAGUGAAGAAGGUUUUCGGAUCGUAAAGCUCUUUCGUUAGGGACGAACGUGCUCUUUGUGAAUAAUGAGGAGUAAUGACGGUACCUAAAUAAGAAGCCACGGCUAACUACGUGCCAGCAGCCGCGGUAAUACGUAGGUGGCAAGCGUUGUCCGGAAUUAUUGGGCGUAAAGCGCGCGCAGGCGGGAUAUCAAGUCUGUCUUAAAAGUGCGAGGCUCAACCUCGUGGGGGGACAGAAACUGGUAUUCUUGAGUGUCGGAGAGGAAAGUGGAAUUCCAAGUGUAGCGGUGAAAUGCGUAGAGAUUUGGAAGAACACCAGUGGCGAAGGCGACUUUCUGGACGAUGUCUGACGCUGAGGCGCGAAAGCUAGGGGAGCGAACGGGAUUAGAAACCCGAGUAGUCC
rnacentral:rRNA from 1 species